GACGAACGCUGGCGGCGUGCUUAACACAUGCAAGUCGAACGGUAAGGCCCUUCGGGGUACACGAGUGGCGAACGGGUGAGUAACGCGUGAGUAACCUGCCCUUGACUCUGGGAUAACAGAUGGAAACGUCUGCUAAUACCGGAUACUCAGCCUUGUGGCAUCCACAGGGUUGGAAAGCUCCGGCGGUCAAGGAUGGACUCGCGUCCUAUCAGCUAGUUGGUGGGGUAACAGCCUACCAAGGCGACGACGGGUAGCCGGCCUGAGAGGGCGACCGGCCACAUUGGGACUGAGAUACGGCCCAGACUCCUACGGGAGGCAGCAGUGGGGAAUAUUGCACAAUGGGCGAAAGCCUGAUGCAGCAACGCCGCGUGCGGGAUGACGGCCUUCGGGUUGUAAACCGCUUUCAGCAGGGACGAAGCGCAAGUGACGGUACCUGCAAAAGAAGCACCGGCUAACUACGUGCCAGCCGCCGCCGUAAAAC
rnacentral:rRNA from 1 species